ensembl:Mt_tRNA
UGGGAUAUAGUGUAUGAGGUGGCACGGAGAAGUUUGGAUUCUUAAGGGUGGGUUCGAUACCCACGAUCCUAG